rnacentral:rRNA from 1 species
GACGAACGCUGGCGGCGUGCUUAACACAUGCAAGUCGAACGCAGUGGCGAACGGGUGAGUAACGCGUAAUCAACCUGCCCUUCAGAGGGGGACAACAGAUGGAAACGACUACUAAUACCGCAUACUGAAGGAGGGGAUUGCGGCUGAUGAGAUAGUUGGAGGGGUAACGGCCCACCAAGGCGAUGAUCAGUAGCCGGGCUGAGAGGAUGAACGGGCACAUUGGGACUGAGACACGGCCCAGAGUCCUACGGGAGGCAGCAGUGGGGAAGCGUCCGCAAUGGACGAAAGUCGGACGGAGCAACGCCGCGUGAGUGAGGACGGCCUUCGGGUUGUAAAGCUCUGUUAAUCGGGACGCGGUACCGGAAUAGAAAGCCACGGCUAACUACGUGCCAGCAGCCGCGGUAAUAC